CUACUACUCCCUCCGUCCGAAAAUACUUGUGAUUGAAAUGGAUGUAUCUAGAUGUAUUUUAGUUCUAGACACAUCCAUUUUGAUGACAAGUAAUUCUAGACGGAGGGAGUAUUAU
rnacentral:pre_miRNA from 1 species